UACGUAGGGUGCAAGCGUUGUCCGGAAUUAUUGGGCGUAAAGAGCUCGUAGGCGGUCUGUCGCGUCGGACGUGAAAACCCAGGGCUCAACCCUGGGCCUGCGUUCGAUACGGGCAGACUAGAGUUCGGUAGGGGAGACUGGAAUUCCUGGUGUAGCGGUGAAAUGCGCAGAUAUCAGGAGGAACACCGGUGGCGAAGGCGGGUCUCUGGGCCGAAACUGACGCUGAGGAACGAAAGCAUGGGGAGCGAACAGG
rnacentral:rRNA from 1 species